rnacentral:rRNA from 1 species
UACGUAGGGGCCAAGCGUUGUCCGGAUUUAUUGGGCGUAAAGAGCUCGUAGGCGGUUCGGCAAGUCAGCUGUGAAAUCUCCACGCUCAACGUGGAGGGGUCAGCUGAUACUGCUGUGACUCGAGUCCGGUAGGGGAGUGUGGAAUUCCCGGUGUAACGGUGAAAUGCGCAGAUAUCAGGAGGAACACCAGUGGCGAAGGCGCCACUCUGGGCCGUAACUGACGCUGAGGAGCGAAAGCGUGGGUAGCAAACAGG